CGAGCGUCAGCGAGAGAGCGUUGCCGCAGGCAACGACCCGAAGGGCGAAGCGCGCAGCGCUGAGUAAUCCUUCCCCCACCACCA
rnacentral:sRNA from 1 species